AAAGCAGCAUGAUUAUAUCAUGUAAAGUAGUGAACAUUCCUUUUUUGAAACAAAUAGCUGGAUGGCUGUUUCCAGUUUUAUCUAACUUAAAUAUCUAAAGAAAUACGGAAUAAUCAGAGGAACAAAAACUUUAUAUUUUUUUUGAACUAAAAGAGAAUAUAAAAUGCUAAAAAGACUUUAAAUAAUUCUUCAUAAGGACCAAACAAAAGAUAGAUUGACUGUGACAGUAAGACCUUUUAACGAUCGAAACCGUGACGAAUUAAUUCAUCGUAUAAAAUGGGAUUUAAAUUUUUAGAAAAAUAAAAAAUGUGGGAUUAACGGGCAAACUUAGAGUAAUCUUUUGCAAGGACUUCGAGUGCUUGCAUAGCUGCCCUAGAGCCCGCGUCUUUUUGAUUUGCACCCCACGCACGGGCUACUUCUUUGCCAUUAAAUAUGCAGGCAAUAACAUAACCCUCAGCGGAACCACCAGCACCAUCGACCCAGCGAUAUUCGAUGUGGCCCAAAGUGCUGUACUUGUGAAAAAGUUUUGAUUUAGCCAGCUUAUCGAUAGGACGUUGAACAGUGAUAUUGGCAAUCUUUGGUUGGAGAAGUCGGCUAACCCAUUGAAAAGCUGUCUCUUCUUGUCCAUCCAAUAUCAAUGCACCGAGAUAUGCUUCGAAAGUGUCAGCAAUGACCUUUUGAGAUUUUCGAAGUUGGUCUUUUUCGGCAGAAUAACUGAGGACAAGUGUUUUAUCAAACCCAUAGAGCCUUGCAAAUUUAUCAGCACUUUCGUUGCCAACAAAUUUUGCCCGGAGUUUGGAAAGACUUCCUUCAUCCAUUUGAGGGAACUUGCUGAAUAUAAUACGCGUAGUAAACAAAUUAAAAAAGCUGUCACCAAGAAAUUCUAGCCUUUCAUUAU